rnacentral:rRNA from 1 species
AAUAUUGGACAAUGGGGGCAACCCUGAUCCAGCCAUCCCGCGUGUGUGAAGAAGGUCUUCGGUUUGUAAAGCACUUUAAGUUGGGAGGAAGGGUUUUAGGCUAAUACCCUGAAGUUUUGACGUUACUAACAGAAUAAGCACCGGCUAACUCUGUGCCAGCAGCCGCGGUAAUACAGGUGGUGCAAGCGUAAAUCGGAAUUACGGGGCGUAAAGCGCGCGUAGGGGGUUCAGGAAGAUGGGUGUGAAAUCCCCGGGCUUAACAUGGGAACUGCUUUCAUAACUGCUGAGCUAGAGUACGGUAGAGGGUAGUGGAAUUUCCUGUGUAGCGGUGAGAGGCGUAGAUAUAGGAAGGAACACCAGUGGCGAAGGCGACUACCUGGACUGAUACUGACACUGAGGUGCGAAAGCGUGGGGAGCAAAC